rnacentral:rRNA from 1 species
AGAGUUUGAUCCUGGCUCAGGACGAACGCUGGCGGCGUGCCUAAUGCAUGCAAGUCGCACGCGCCGCCUUCGGGCGGUGAGUGGCGCACGGCUGAGGAUCACGUGGGAACAUGCCAUCUGGUGGGGGACAACAGCGCGAAAGCGGUGCUAAUCCCGCAUACGCUCGCAAGAGGAAAGCGGCAACGCGCCAGAUGAGUGGCCCGCGGCCCAUCAGGUCGUAGGUGGGGUAACGGCCUACCUAGCCGAUGACGGGUAGCUGGUCUGUGAGGACAGACAGCCAGACUGGGACUGAGACACGGCCCAGACUCCUACGGGAGGCAGCAGCAAGGAAUUUUCGUCAAUGGGCGCAAGCCUGAACGAGCGACGCCGCGUGGAGGAUGACGGCCUUCGGGUUGUAAACUCCUUUUGGGGGGGACGAUGAUGACGGUACCCCUUGAAUAAGGCUCGGCUAACUCUGUGCCAGCAGCCGCGGUA